AUUGAACGCUGGCGGCAGGCCUAACACAUGCAAGUCGAACGGUAACAGGAAGAAGCUUGCUUCUUUGCUGACGAGUGGCGGACGGGUGAGUAAUGUCUGGGAAACUGCCUGAUGGAGGGGGAUAACUACUGGAAACGGUAGCUAAUACCGCAUAACGUCGCAAGACCAAAAAGGGGGACCUUCGGGCCUCUUGCCAUCGGAUGUGCCCAGAUGGGAUUAGCUAGUAGGUGAGGUAACGGCUCACCUAGGCGACGAUCCCUAGCUGGUCUGAGAGGAUGACCAGCCACACUGGAACUGAGACACGGUCCAGACUCCUACGGGAGGCAGCAGUGGGGAAUAUUGCACAAUGGGCGCAAGCCUGAUGCAGCCAUGCCGCGUGUAUGAAGAAGGCCUUCGGGUUGUAAAGUACUUUCAGCGGGGAGGAAGGGAGGAAAGUUAAUACCUUUGCUCAUUGACGUUACCCGCAGAAGAAGCACCGGCUAACUCCGUG
rnacentral:rRNA from 1 species